CCCUCUGUGGUGUAGUUGGUAUCACACCCGGCUGUAAUGGUCGCACCCUCCCCCUAAAAAGGGAGGGGCGUAUUUCUUCAAAGUAACCGGUUGGUCACCAGUUCGACUCUGGUCGGAGGGA